rnacentral:rRNA from 1 species
AGAGUUUGAUUCUGGCUCAGGAUGAACGCUAGCUACAGGCUUAACACAUGCAAGUCGAGGGGCAGCAUGGGAGUUGCUUGCAACUUCUGAUGGCGACCGGCGCACGGGUGAGUAACGCGUAUCCAACCUUCCCCUUAGUAGGGCAUAGCCCGUAGAAAUGCGGAUUAAUACCCUAUGUUCUUCGAAGCGGUCAUCCAAUUUGAAGCAAAGAUUCAUCGCUAAGGGAUGGGGAUGCGUCCGAUUAGGUUGUUGGCGGGGUAACGGCCCACCAAGCCAUCGAUCGGUAGGGGUUCUGAGAGGAAGGUCCCCCACAUUGGAACUGAGACACGGUCCAAACUCCUACGGGAGGCAGCAGUGAGGAAUAUUGGUCAAUGGGCGAGAGCCUGAACCAGCCAAGUAGCGUGCAGGAUGACGGCCCUAUGGGUUGUAAACUGCUUUUAUCAGGGGAUAAAGUGACCCACGUGUGGGUUUUUGUAGGUACCUGAUGAAUAAGGACCGGCUAAUUCCGUGCCAGCAGCUGC